rnacentral:lncRNA from 1 species
UAGGUCUCUAUACCAAUCCAUAGAUCCUGUUGAUCCAGUUGUCCUAAAGACCUUUAAGAGAGUUGAGGUGAGUGGGAGCCUCAGCUACUCACGGGAAGCUUGCGUGUGGCCUUUCACAGACUUUUCUUUCCUCCUGCCAUGGCUUCUUCCAUCCACAGGUUCCUCCCACAGGGACACACCCUUCCCGGGUGGCAUUCUCCAGACACAAGGCAGAACCUGCUUUUCUCAUUUGUGACCUAACUAGAAAGUAACUACUGACAUCUCCAUCAUAUUCCAUAGGCCAAAGUAGUUAAGUGAAAGAAUGCUGGGACCAUGUUUUCUAAGUGCUACAGACCAACCAGUUCGUAUACGAUGUAACGGGUCCAGCAGAAAGCUUCUGGGAAGUCUGAAGUCUUCAUUUCUUCCCAGGAGUACUUACAGACCAACACUGAGAGAAAAAGAAAAGGAUUCAUUAGACAUUGUUUUCCAGCCUUUCCAACGAGGAAGUAAAGAGACUAGCUGGACAAAAUGAUCAAAAAAACAGCUGCCUACCCACAAAACUAAGUUGCCUUUAACCUAUGAAGAAUCUGGAUGUCUGGACUGAAAGCAGUUCCAGGAAGCAGCAGAGGUUGCAGCUACCCCGAAUGUGCCCAUUUGCACUUCUCUGGAAAUGAUCAAUAGACAGCGUGGGUUCAUCCUCACCUUCUUCCCGCCCCACGCCCACUUGUGAGGUAAAGUACUGACCCAAGAGACUCUGAGUUACCACUUCAUCAAGCAAGAAAUUAGCAUGUAGAUCAGACUGUAUCACCGGACACAUCACAAAAGCUGGUAAUUCUGGAGAAACUUUUAAAUGCUGUUUUUUAUUGGGUCUCUUGGGGGAAUAUUUCAUAAAAUCAUUAAGGAAC